CAGAGUCUACUGGAGGUGAGGAGCGUGCAGGUCAGCGUUUCUGUACGCUCAGAUACAUGAGCUCUCCCUUUUCAUUUCUAGGGUUCUCUUGGCCCCAGCCCCACAGUUCCUGGUUGGUGCCCCUCCCACAGGGCCGUUAUUUAAAAUAGUGCUUACCCUUGGAGGUAAUGUUAAUUGGAACAAGAUGCAGGACUGAGUGCUUCUCUAAGGAAAGAAGGAGGAAAGAGCAGUGUUGGCCUGCCCCCAGGGGCCACCCCCACCCUCGCCUCAGCUCUGGUCGGCACUCCUCUCCUCAUGCUCCUGGCUCACCUCCAACCCUGCCGGAACCCCAGGCUCACUCACUCUUGUGCUUCUGGGCAUAUCCAACCCACAGCUGUCAGGAGGCCCCAUGGGCCCCCUACAUCCCAGGGUGCUGUGGACGUGACCCAAUAUAUCUGCAGAAGACAUGUCACAGUAUCAGAAGAUCAGAUACCCUGCAUCUGUAGAGCACUUUUCCACCUCGGCCUCACUGAGACUCUUAACAAUCUUCAGCCUCAGCAGACUUGUCUCCACCACACAAUUAAGCUUCGAGGCUACACCGGGGGAAUGAGUCCCUGACUCCACUGUAAAACUGUCUUCCUGUGAGGUGCUCUGUGCCUUGGGCCGCCUUACUAUAUCAUUCUUGUCAUCUAGCAUUGUAAUUACACAUUUACAGACUGCUGUUCCUCUGUGGUGAAUCCUUAAGCAAAGACAUCUCCAAGUUAAUCAGUCAGCUCACACCUACUCCCCUCCUGGGCAGCCCAGUCUUAGGAAAUGGCGUUAUCUUUCUCCGGUAUUCAAGCCAGAUAUGAAGGCACCAGCCUGGAGCUCCAGCCACUAAGGAGGCUGAGGCAGGAGGAUCACUUAAGCCCAGGAGUUCUAGAACAGCCUGGGGAGAGUGGCAAGGCCCCACUUCAAAAACUGAAAACAAGAUUGUUGUGAAGAGGAGCAAAGCAGUAUAUGAGCUGAAGAAUCCCGUUACUGAGACAGAGGGACGAAUGCUCACCACUCCUUCGAGGCCGGACUAGUUGUUCCAAGAAAGAAUGACAUGGGUUUGGAUGCAUGGAGAGUUAUGGCUUGGACAUAGAGUAUCUCCCAAAGGCUGGUACCUAAUGAGAUGUGCAGAGGCCAGAAGAGGGCAUCAGAUCCCUCUAUAGAUGGUUGAGAACCACCAUGUGGUUGCUAGGAAUUAAACUCAUGUCCUAUGGAAGAGCAGCCUGUGCUCUUAAUCUUAACCACUGAGCUAUCUCACCAGCCCCAGAGGUGGGUGUUUGCCUGCAUGUAUGUCUGUACAACACACACAUGCAGUACCUGUGAAUGCAAGAAGAGGAUGCCAGGUCCCCCCAGAACUGGAGUUACAGCCAUUUAUAAGCUGCCGUUUGGGUGCGGGACCCUGAGUCUGGAUUCCUCUGGACGAGCGCCUGCUGGCUCUCUUAACUGCUAAGCCGUCUAGUUAAUCUCUGCAGCUCUCAACUGAAGCGUGGGUUAGGCUAUGAGAAGGCAUCAGGACUGUGAAAGGAGAGCCCUGCCUUUCCCUUCCCUGCUCCCUGUACCCAACGAGGGAAGCAGCUGUUCUCUGCCAGAGGCUCCCCACCGCCAAGUCCUGCCUCAUCAUGGGCAAAGGAACAAUGUAAAGUGACCAUGGACUGAAACUUUGGAACCUUGAGUUCAAAUAAAUCUCUCCUCCCUUU